GUCCGUUAAUAACAAAUUCUUAUUUACAAUGACAGACGACACUGUUGAGCCCCGAGGGGGGACCUGAUGAGAGAGAUUAUAGGAGCCCCGAGGGGGGACCUGAUGAGAGAGAUUAUAGGAGCCCCGAGGGGGGACCUGAUGAGAGAGAUUAUAGGAUUAUAGGAUAUAUUUUUUUUUGAUUGUCUGUAAAAAUGUUGCACGUGUUCCAAUAAAUUGUAUGGCAUCUU